rnacentral:tRNA from 2 species
AUCUAUAUAGUAUAUAAGUAUAUUU